AAUCCCGCGCGGCUCAGAGAUGGGUUUCUGGACUCGCGAAGCAGCUGCAACAAGGCAUCACUCACUGUAUAAGUAUUUCCAUUUCUGAGAGCAAAAGGAAGAACUUAAGCGGGCGGCACUUGGAGUGUAAAUUGCUUUGUAGUAUUUAAAGGCAGAAUGGAUCCUGGGCAGCCGAGCUGAUCAUGAGGUUCCUGAGGCCUCCUAGCCAUGCUUCCUGUGCAGCCUAUGGAACUGAUCACUGUUGUAUUUUUAAACCUUAUUCCUGGAAGCACUACGGAUAUCAGAUCAAUUUAGAAAGCCAAAGAGUACCUCUGGGAAUGAAAUGGUAGUAAUAGAAACAAUAUUUGGCCAAACUAUCGCUGUAUGCCAAUGAUGCCAAAAAUCACAGUAACCUGGCAGCAACAAACCGGCAGGACUUCCUGUGAAAUCAUGACCACCAUGUGCUCUUUCAGCCUCUAUCAGUUCCUACCUCUAAGCACCUGAGAGCCAAAGCAAACCACAGGAAACCACAGACUCAAACUAAACGUCAGCUUUUCCCGGCUCUCAAGCCUGCUGGUCCCUGAACUAAAACUCACAUUAUCAACUCUACUGGUU
rnacentral:lncRNA from 1 species